UAGAUUUUUAUAAAAGCGGGAUUAAAAUUGAGAAUGGCGGGCUUCCGCACAUCUAUAAUUUUUGGGAAUGGCGGGCUACCUCUCUAGUGAAUAAUUAGAAAAAAGAAAAGAAAAAUAAUGAAGCACACAAAUUUCCACUCUCCUUCAACUUCUUCCCAACUCCGAUCCCUACUCUUCAAUGGAUGAACUCCCUGCUCCACAAAUCCAUUCCAAUUAAUCAGUUCCAUGAGCAACGCCAAAUUCACUGGUGUUUUAACGACGUCAAUCUCAACAAGUCCGAGCAAUCAACACCCUUCAUUCCGCCAUCAAAGGAUCUUGCAGCUUAUAGAUCACACAAGCUAUGCGUUGUCAGAUUUUGAAGGUGACCACACCCCGAUUGCCAAUGAUGAGUUUAUCGGAUCAGAUGUCAUCUUAGGGACCAAGAAAAUAGAGGCAAGUCCAUUCCAGUCUUGUUGAUCUGUUGAACAUCGUAGAUCAUCUUACAUAUCUCUAGUUAAGACUUAUACAUCUGCAUAUAAUAAUUUUGGGGGGGGGGGGGGGCAGUUGAAUGUGCAUCAAUUGAUUGUGCUGUUGGAGGGUCAUCUAUGUGUCGAUUACUGUAUGUAGUGUUUUUCUUCUCUUGUUUCUAUUAACUACUAAUAAUAAUAUUCAGUAGUUAUCAAGUGCCCCGACACUUACUGGACCCAGAAUAUCACUAGUUUCAGUCAUGCAGGUAUUUCAUUAUUCUCAUCUCUUCUGAUUUUCCUAAAAGAUAAGCUAUAUAAGUAAAAUCUAGCUACUGCAAGACCAUACUCGUUUGUCGUGGAUAUUGAUAGCUAUUUUUCGUCAUUUGAUCUUACUUGUACUACAGGCAAGAAACAACACUCAUGUUCUGGUCUCAGUCUCACUAAAACUUUUCAGUGACCGGUAAACUUGUCUAGUUGUCUGCCUCUAUAAAAUAACUUUAUGUCUCUGUUCUCUUUUUUAUUGGAGUUUAUAUUUAUUUAGUUUUAUAUUAUUGAAUCAUGUUUCCUUGCUCAAAUUUUUUAAGAUCAGGAGUGCAAAAGGCUGGGAGCUCGACUAGGUAAAUACUUAACAGGGCAUCAACUUGGAAUUUUCUGUUUUGUGAGCAUUUCAUUUGGAGAGAAUAUUACAACUUUCUUCUCAUUGGUUCAAUCAGUUGCUAUGCUGAUCAGUAUCAGUUUUGACCUCUAAAAUUAACUCUUGCUGAUGACCUCACUGUGCACCCUAACCUUCAUGGUGGAUAUCUUGCUUUAAUUUCAUAGGUACUUUAAUGAUUCUCUUUCUUCUGGUCAGUAAACGAAUGUUCUUCAACCUGCUUGAAUGUUUUCUUCAGUAGAUCAACUUCAAUAAUAUAAUGAAAAUAAAUUCAUGUUUCCACAUUUGAAACUUUUAGUAUAGUACCCAUAUGAUGUAACAUAGUACUAUACCAAAAAUUUCCUUAAUAGACUAAUAUUGAAGUUACUCUUAAACCGAUGUUUUGUUACCUAUCAUAGUAUCAUGUUUAUGUUUCCAUUCAAUACUAAAAAUAAAAUCCACCCGACUCAUGUUGCUCCACAACAAGUAUCUGAUUUACUAAUGUAUUAGUUCGACAUCUGUAUCUUUGAGGGGGUCGAAAAAGCACGAGGCUAAUGCGUGACCUCG